rnacentral:lncRNA from 1 species
GAAUACAAAAUCUCCAAAGUCAGAAACAAAUACUGCAUGUACAAUCUAGCAAAUGGAAUAACAAAAAAUAACAAUUUUUUUAAGGAGUUUUCAUGUGCUCUGUCUACUUCCCCUCCGUUGAUGAUACAUCUCUUGUGCUAAAUUUGUCCUCCAUGUAUUCCACUCUUCUGAGGUUUCUAUACUAGUUAUCAUGCUAUCUCCAAGUGAUUCCAUCUCAUUUACAGCAUCUAAUGCUUCCUCAAAAGGAUCACAUGACAUCUCCCUCCAUAAUUAAUUAAUCAAAGCUAGUUCAAUAAACAAACGAUGGCAGCGGCUGUGCUGUGCAAAUGGAUGAAAAUUGGAGAAGGGGCUGCAGGUUAUAGAGAAAUUGUAAGACAAAAUAUUUUAGGGUUUCAUAUUUUAAAUUUUAAGUAAGGGUAAAAUUAGAAAUUAAAAAAUAUAGUAGGGUUACAAAUGACAAUUUGAAUAUUUUUAAGUGAUGAAAUUAGAAUUUCUAUCCCCUCAUAGAAGAAAAUUGAAUUCCUUACUACAACAGAAAUUAAAUUUCUAUGGAGAUUAAU